UUACUCUUUAGAUAUUAAACAUCGAUGUUUUUAGUAUACGAGUAAAUCAGUAAACUGUGAUACCAUUAUUUGAACAUCCCUGUAAGGCUGUAAUGCAGCUCGUUCCUUCCGAUUUCUGAAAACAUUUCUUCUCGUUGUUUACAGAUUUCAAAUUUUAAACAGGUUUUGUAGAAAUCACAACCCCAAGUUGGAAGCUCAAAGAAUCCCUUGCUCAAUCUCAGUACAAAGAUUUUAAGAACUAAAAAUUGUGGUGGUAGCUAUUUGUAAUUGGACUGGUGGAGUUAUGUGGAACGGGAGAAUUUAGAUGAAGAUGCGAGGAUUUCACUUAGCUGCAUAUUUUUCCCAAUUGUCAAAGGCUGCUCGUUUAGUCCAUGCAACUAGGCCUCUCUGCACGAAAGCAUAUGACAGCAAGGCAUUAGCAGUGAAGCCUGUGAGAGAUGAUGAUGCCUACCGUCAGCUUGAGAACCUUGACUUUAUGACUGCUGCGAAAAUGCUUUUUUCGGAUCCUCCAAAGAAAAAGGAAUCUGGGCUUGAUUUCCAUCUGGUCCAAUUCUUCUUUUGCUGCCUGCCUUCAGUGGGUAAGAGAACUUAAAUCUAACUUAACCAUAUUUAAAUGGUUCAAGUUUUGGGGGACGUUGAAGUCUGAUCUCUGCAGUACUUGAUUACAGCUGUAUACAUGGUAGCCUAGUAUGCCCGUUAUGAAAUCCGAAGGAUGGAGGCGGAAGUUGAGGUGAAAAAGAAAAAAGAUGAGGGAGAAGAGAAAGCCAAAGGAUUGGAAGCAAACGCCUCGAAAGAAAGUGAAGAGGCAGCAUCUGCUGGUGAGCUGCUCAAAGUAAAAGACAGACUAGACGCGCUAGAGGAAGCAUUCAAAGAGAUAGUUGUAGAAAAGAAGAAACUGUCUUGACAUUCAUCUGAAGAAAGUAACAAAAGUGAGAAGGUUGAAGCGAUGAAAUCAAUUUCUGAAAAAUAAAGUAAAAGACACAAAUGCAGAGGAUAAUCCUGAUCAACAAUCAAAGACACAACCAUUUAGCCAUGAACGAGCUGCUAAUUCCAGAUCCCAGAGAGGUGGGGAAACUGCAGAAAAGAGUACUCAUCCCAAGAAACAGUUGAAGGACAAGAUAGUUACUGCAGAAACCCUUUUGCCUUCGAAAGUUAGAAAUUUAAAAUCCUGUUUCCAGAUAGGUGAUGAACUUAUUGUCUGUAUACGCUGGGGAAUUCUGAAUCUCGUCUCAUUCUUUUCUUCUUCUUUGCUUUUGAUGAGCAAAUUCUGCUCAUUUUGCAUCUUGAUUGUUGCAGAAAUAGAGCCAGCGACUCUUGUAGGCUGACAUUUUUGCUGUCUAAUGGAAUGUGAAAUCUCUUCCACCUCUAU